rnacentral:rRNA from 1 species
AACAGGAUUAGAUACCCUGGUAGUCCACGCCGUAAACGAUGAGUGCUAGCUGUAGGGAGCUAUAAGUUCUCUGUAGCGCAGCUAACGCAUUAAGCACUCCGCCUGGGGAGUACGACCGCAAGGUUGAAACUCAAAGGAAUUGACGGGGGCCCGCACAAGCGGUGGAGCAUGUGGUUUAAUUCGAAGCAACGCGAAGAACCUUACCAGGUCUUGACAUACUCGUGCUAUCCUUAGAGAUAAGGUGUUCCUUCGGGACACGGGAUACAGGUGGUGCAUGGUUGUCGUCAGCUCGUGACGUGAGAUGUUGGGUUAAGUCCCGCAACGAGCGCAACCCUUAUUACUAGUUGCCAUCAUUAAGUUGGGCACUCUAGUGAGACUGCCGGUGAUAAACCGGAGGAAGGUGGGGAUGACGUCAAAUCAUCAUGCCCCUUAUGACCUGGGCUACGCACGUGCUACAAUGGAUGGUACAACGAGUCGCCAACCCGCGAGGGUGCGCUAAUCUCUUAAAACCAUUCUCAGUUCGGAUUGCAGGCUGCAACUCGCCUGCAUGAAGUCGGAAUCGCUAGUAAUCGCGGAUCAGCACGCCGCGGUGAAUACGUUCCCGGGCCUUGUACACACCGCCCGUCACACCACGGAAGUUGGGAGUACCCAAAGUAGGUUGCCUAACCGCAAGGAGGGCGCUUCCUAAGGUAAGACCGAUGACUGGGGUGAAGUCGUAACAAGGUAACC